rnacentral:sRNA from 1 species
AAAUAAACCCGAUUGGCGCGGAAAGCUUUUUUUAUUGCAUCAACGUUGAAUAAUUGUUAGUAUGACAGGAGUUUAAAAAAAACUUGUAGCAAAAGCGGGGUUGUCG